UACGGAGGAUGCAAGCGUUAUCCGGAAUGAUUGGGCGUAAAGCGUCCGCAGGUGGCAAUGUAAGUCUGCUGUUAAAGAGUCUAGCUCAACUAGAUACAAGCAGUGGAAACUACAUAGCUAGAGUACGUUCGGGGCAGAGGGAAUUCCUGGUGUAGCGGUGAAAUGCGUAGAGAUCAGGAAGAACACCAGUGGCGAAGGCGCUCUGCUAGGCCGUAACUGACACUGAGGGACGAAAGCUAGGGGAGCGAAUGGGAUUAGAUACCCCAGUAGUCCUAGCCGUAAACGAUGGAUACUAGGCGUGGCUUGUAUCGACCCGAGCCGUGCCGUAGCUAACGCGUUAAGUAUCCCGCCUGGGGAGU
rnacentral:rRNA from 1 species